rnacentral:rRNA from 1 species
CGACGAUUCCGAUUUAUCGGAAUAGUGGCAAACGGGUGAGUAACACGUAAGUAACCUGCCCCUAAGUAAAGGAUAACUCUGAGAAAUUGGAGCUAAUACUGUAUGUGGUCCUUCAUUGCAAGGUGAAGGACUAAAGCCUACGGGCGCUUGGGGAGGGGCUUGCGUCCGAUUAGCUUGUUGGUAAGGUAAUGGCCUACCAAGGCAACGAUCGGUAGCUGGUUUAAGAGGACGGUCAGCCACACUGGGACUGAGACACGGCCCAGACUCCUACGGGAGGCAGCAGCAAGGAAUAUUGUGCAAUGGGCGAAAGCCUGACACAGCGACACCGCGUGGGGGAUGAAGGCCUUCGGGUCGUAAACCCCUUUUCCCAGAGAAGAAAAAUGACGGUACCUGGGGAAUAAGUCCUGGCUAACUACGUGCCAGCAGCCGCGGUAAGACGUAGAAGGCAAGCGUUAUCCGGAUUUAUUGGGCGUAAAGAGGGUGUAGGCGGUUCUUCAAGUCGGAUGUAAAAUCUCCCGGCUCAACUGGGAGGGAUUAUUCGAUACUGUUGGGCUAGAGUGCAGCAGGGGGAGAUGGAAUUCCCGGUGUAGUGGUGAAAUGCGUAGAUAUCGGGAGGAACACCAGUGGCGAAGGCGGUCUCCUGGGCUGUUACUGACGCUGAGACCCGAAAGCGUGGGGAGCGAACAGGAUUAGAUACCCUGGUAGUCCACGCAGUAAACGAUGGACACU